UCGGGAAUUUUGGGCAAUGGGCGAAAGCCUGACCCAGCAACGCCGCGUGAGGGAUGAAGUAUUUCGGUAUGUAAACCUCGAAAGAAUGGGAAGAAUAAAUGACGGUACCAUUUAUAAGCUCCGGCUAACUACGUGCCAGCAGCCGCGGUAAUACGUAGGGAGCAAGCGUUGUUCGGAUUUACUGGGCGUAAAGGGCGCGUAGGCGGCGCGGUAAGUCACUUGUGAAAUCUCUGAGCUUAACUCAGAACGGCCAAGUGAUACUGCUGUGCUAGAGUGCGGAAGAGGCAAGCGGAAUUCUUGGUGUAGCGGUGAAAUGCGUAGAUAUCAAGAGGAACACCAGAGGCGAAGGCGGGUUGCUGGGCCGACACUGACGCUGAUGCGCGAAAGCCAGGGGAGCAAACG
rnacentral:rRNA from 1 species